GCCGUAAUAGCUCAGUUGGGAGAGCGUUAGACUGAAGAUCUAAAGGUCCCCAGUUCGAUCCUGGGUCGCGGCA
rnacentral:tRNA from 1 species